GACGAACGCUGGCGGCGUGCUUAACACAUGCCAGUCGAACGGAAAGGCCCUGCUUUUGUGGGGUGCUCGAGUGGCGAACGGGUGAGUAACACGUGAGUAACCUGCCCUUGACUUUGGGAUAACUUCAGGAAACUGGGGCUAAUACCGGAUAGGAGCUCCUGCUGCAUGGUGGGGGUUGGAAAGUUUCGGCGGUUGGGGAUGGACUCGCGGCUUAUCAGCUUGUUGGUGUGGUAGUGGCUUACCAAGGCUUUGACGGGUAGCCGGCCUGAGAGGGUGACCGGCCACAUUGGGACUGAGAUACGGCCCAGACUCCUACGGGAGGGAGCAGUGGGGAAUAUUGCACAAUGGGCGGAAGCCUGAUGCAGCAAAGCCGCGUGCGGGAUGACGGCCUUCGGGUUGUAAACCGCUUUCGCCUGUUACGAAGCGUGAGUGACGGUAAUGGGUAAAGAAGCACCGGCUAACUACGUG
rnacentral:rRNA from 1 species